AAUGAACGUUGGCGGCGUGGAUUAGGCAUGCGAGUCGUGCGGGAAUCGUAGCAAUACGAGGAAAGCGGCGAAAGGGAGAGGAAUACGUAGAAAUCUGCCCUCGGGACGGGGAUAGCGGCGGGAAACUGCCGGUAAUACCCGAUAACAUCUUCGGAUCAAAGGUGUGAUUCCGCCUGAGGAUGAGUCUACGUCCUAUUAGCUAGUUGGCGGGGUAAUGGCCCACCAAGGCGACGAUGGGUAGCAGGUGUGAGAGCACGACCUGCCUCAUUGGGACUGAGACACUGCCCAGACACCUACGGGUGGCUGCAGUCGAGAAUCUUCGGCAAUGGACGAAAGUCUGACCGAGCGACGCCGCGUGCGGGAUGAAGGCCUUCGGGUUGUAAACCGCUGUCGUAGGGAACCAAAUUCAUGGGGGUUCUCCCCUGUGAUUGAGAGAACCUAGGAGGAAGGAGAGGCUAAGCUCGUGCCAGCCGCCGCCGUAACAC
rnacentral:rRNA from 1 species